AGGACAAACGCUGGCGGCGUGCAUAACACAUGCAAGUCGAACGAGGGUAGCGAUACUCGAGUGGCGGACGGGUGAGGAACACGUGGAUGACCGACCUUUUACUGGGGAAUACCCGUGGGAAACCACGGCUAAUACCGCAUACGUUCGCGAGAAGAAAGCCUUCGGGCGGUAAGAGACGGGUCUGCGGUCGAUUAGCUAGUUGGUGCGGUAACGGCGUACCAAGGCGACGAUCGAUAGCUGGUCUGAGAGGGUGUCCGGCCACACUGGGACUGAGAUACGGCCCAGACUCCUACGGGAGGCAGCAGUGGGGAAUAUUGGACAAUGGGCGCAAGCCUGAUCCAGCCAUGCCGCGUGGAUGAUGAAGGCCUUAGGGUUGUAAAGUCCUUUUAACGGGAAGAUAAUGACGGUACCCGUAGAAUAAGCCCGGCUAACUUCGUGCCAGCAGCCGC
rnacentral:rRNA from 1 species